GAUGAAGAACGUAGCGAAAUGCGAUAAGUAGUGUGAAUUGCAGAAUUCCGUGAAUCAUCGAAUCUUUGAACGCACAUUGCGCCCCUUGGUAUUCCAUGGGGCAUGCCUGUUCGAGCGUCAUUUGUACCUUCAAGCUCUGCUUGGUGUUGGGUGUUUGUCUCGCCUCUGCGUGUAGACUCGCCUCAAAAUAAUUGGCAGCCGGCGUAUUGAUUUCGGAGCGCAGUACAUCUCGCGCUUUGCACUCAUAACGACGACGUCCAAAAGUACAUUUUUACACUCUUGACCUCGGAUCAGGUAGGGAUACCCGCUGAACUUAAGCAUAUCAAUAAGCGGAGGA
rnacentral:misc_RNA from 1 species